rnacentral:rRNA from 1 species
CUACGGGACGCUGCAGUGAGGAAUAUUGCACAAUGGGGGGAACCCUGAUGCAGCAACGCCGCGUGGAGGAUGACGCAUUUCGGUGUGUAAACUCCUUUUAUAUGUCAAGAAAAUGACGGUAGCAUAUGAAUAAGCACCGGCUAACUCCGUGCCAGCAGCUGCGGUAAUACGGAGGGUGUAAGCGUUACUCGGAAUCACUGGGCGUAAAGGACGCGUAGGCGGGUUGGAAAGUCAGGUGUGAAAUCCUACAGCUUAACUGUAGAACUGCACUUGAAACUUCUAAUCUAGAGUAUGGGAGGGGGAGAUGGAAUUAGUGGUGUAGGGGUAAAAUCCGUAGAUAUCACUAGGAAUACCUAAAGCGAAGGCGAUCUCCUGGAACAUUACUGACGCUAAGGCGUGAAAGCGUGGGGAGCAAACAGGAUUAGAUACCCCAGUAGUC